GACGAACCGUGCGAACGUUAUUCGGAAUCACUGGGCUUAAAGGGCGCGUAGGCGGGCCGAAAAGCCAGGGGUGAAAUCCUCCAGCCCAACUGGAGAAGCGCCUUUGGAACUGGCGGCCUCGAGGGGUGCAGGGGCAUGCGGAACUCAGGGUGGAGCGGUGAAAUGCGUAGAUAUCCUGAGGAACACCGGUGGCGAAGGCGGCAUCCUGGACCGAUACUGACGCUGAGGAGCGAAAGCCAGGGGAGCAAAGCGGGG
rnacentral:rRNA from 1 species